rnacentral:rRNA from 1 species
GAUGAACGCUGGCGGCGUGCUUAACACAUGCAAGUCGAACGAUGAAGCCCAGCUUGCUGGGUGGAUUAGUGGCGAACGGGUGAGUAACACGUGAGUAACCUGCCCUUGACUCUGGGAUAAGCCUGGGAAACUGGGUCUAAUACUGGAUAUGACUUCUCAUCGCAUGGUGGGGGGUGGAAAGAUUUAUUGGUCUUGGAUGGACUCGCGGCCUAUCAGCUUGUUGGUGAGGUAAUGGCUCACCAAGGCGACGACGGGUAGCCGGCCUGAGAGGGUGACCGGCCACACUGGGACUGAGCCACGGCCCAGACUCCUACGGGAGGCAGCAGUGGGGAAUAUUGCACAAUGGGAGCAAGCAUGAUGCAGCGACGCCGCGUGAGGGAUGACGGCCUUCGGGUUGUAAACCUCUUUCAGUAGGGAAGAAGCGAGAGUGACGGUACCUGCAGAAGAAGCGCCGGCUAACUACGUG